rnacentral:rRNA from 1 species
CCUACGGGCGGCAGCAGUAGGGAAUCUUCGUCAAUGGGCGCAAGCCUGAACGAGCAAUGCCGCGUGAACGAGGAAGGUCUUCGGAUCGUAAAGUUCUGUUGAAGGGGAAAAAGAGCGGAGAGAGGAAAUGAACUCCGAUUGAUAUUACCCUUCGAGGAAGUCACGGCUGACUACGUGCCAGCAGCCGCGGUAAUACGUAGGUGGCGAGCGUUAUCCGGAUUGAUUGGGCGAAAAGGGUGCGUAGGCGGCCUGCUAGGUCUGGAGUGAAAGGUACCGGCUCAACCGGGAUAGGCUCUGGAAACUGGCGGGCUAGAGAGCAGGAGAGGGCGGUGGAACUCCCUGUGUAGCGGUAAAAUGCGUAGAUAUAUGGAAGAACACCAGUGGCGAAGGCGGCCGCCUGGCCUGUUACUGACGCUGAGGCACGAAAGCGUGGGGAGCAAAUAGGAUUAGAUACCCCAGUAGUC